rnacentral:rRNA from 1 species
UCCUGGCUCAGGAUGAACGCUGGCGGUCUGCUUAACACAUGCAAGUCGAACGCAAGUAGCAAUACUUGAGUGGCGGACGGGUGAGUAACGCGUGAGAAUCUGCCUUUUGGUCGGGGACAACCAUUGGAAACGAUGGCUAAUACCCGAUGUGCCUAUGGGUGAAAGAUUUAUUGCCAGAAGAGGAGCUCGCGUCUGAUUAGCUAGUUGGUAGGGUAAAAGCCUACCAAGGCAUCGAUCAGUAGCUGGUCUGAGAGGAUGACCAGCCACACUGGGACUGAGACACGGCCCAGACUCCUACGGGAGGCAGCAGUGGGGAAUUUUCCGCAAUGGGCGAAAGCCUGACGGAGCAAGACCGCGUGAGGGAGGAAGGCUCUUGGGUCGUAAACCUCUUUUGUCAGGGAAGAACACAAUGACGGUACCUGACGAAUCAGCCUCGGCUAACUCCGUGCCAGCAGCCGCGGUAAUACGGAGGAGGCAAGCGUUAUCCGGAAUUAUUGGGCGUAAAGCGUCCGCAGGUGGCACCUCAAGUCUGCUGUCAAAGACCGGGGCUUAACCCCAGAAAGGCAGUGGAAACUGAAGUGCUAGAGUGCAGUAGGGGUAGAGGGAAUUCCCGGUGUAGCGGUGAAAUGCGUAGAGAUCGGGAAGAACAUCGGUGGCGAAGGCGCUCUGCUGGACUGCAACUGACACUCAGGGACGAAAGCUAGGGGAGCGAAUGGGAUUAGAUACCCCAGUAGUCCUAGCCGUAAACGAUGGAUACUAGGUGUGGCUUGUAUCGACCCGAGCCGUGCCGUAGCUAACGCGUUAAGUAUCCCGCCUGGGGAGUACGCACGCAAGUGUGAAACUCAAAUGAAUUG